AGCGAACGCUGGCGGCAGGCCUAACACAUGCCAGUCGAACGAACCUUUCGGGGUUAGUGGCGGACGGGUGAGUAACACGUGGGAACGUGCCUUUAGGUUCGGAAUAACUCAGGGAAACUUGUGCUAAUACCGAAUGUGCCCUUCGGGGGAAAGAUUUAUCGCCUUUAGAGCGGCCCGCGUCUGAUUAGCUAGUUGGUUGAGGUAAUGGCUCACCAAGGCGACGAGCAGUAGCUGGUCUGAGAGGAUGAUCAGCCACAUUGGGACUGAGACACGGCCCAAACUCCUACGGGAGGCAGCAGUGGGGAAUCUUGCGCAAUGGGCGAAAGCCUGACGCAGCCAUGCCGCGUGAAUGAUGAAGGUCUUAGGAUUGUAAAAUUCUUUCACCGGGGACGAUAAUGACGGUACCCGGAGAAGAAGCCCCGGCUAACUUCGUG
rnacentral:rRNA from 1 species